rnacentral:misc_RNA from 1 species
AUAGAAACAGGAAGAUCCGCGCUCGUGAAGAGACGUGAAUUGAAAUGGAAAGUACAUUUAGCUCUAGACGAUAAUAUUAGGGAGUUCCUUUAAAAUACAGUGAAGAUGGCAACUAGUGACACUCGUUUUGAAAUCGGAGACACUUUAGGAGAAGGAGCUUUCGGCAAAGUAUAUGAGUGCUUUGACAGAAGCGAUAAUGACAAGAAGUAUGCCAUGAAAGUGAUAGAUCUGACAAAGUCAUCAGAAGAUGAACGUGACUUGGCAGAAAAAGAGGCCAAAUUGUUGACAAAUCUGCAGCAUGAAUUUAUACUGCAUGCUGUGACCUCAUUCCAGGUACAGGGGGCACUGUGUAUAGUGACAGAAUUCUGUGACAAGGGGGAUCUAGCACAGUUCCUGGAGAGUAGAAAUGGGGUGUCGCUAGAUGAGCAACGGAUAGUGGAAUGGUUUAGACAAAUCUGCAGCGCUUUAGAGUAUUUGCAUGGAAGACACGUCCUUCACAGGGACAUGAAGACUCAAAAUGUAUUCCUGACUGGUGUGGAAAUGACAGCUAAGUUGGGAGAUCUUGGCCUGGCUAAAGUGUUGGAGAAACCCACACAGAAAGCUGUCACUUUUUGUGGUAGUCCGUACUACAUGAGUCCUGAAAUAUUUGCUUGUAAACCUUAUGACUCUAAGAGUGACAUCUGGGCAAUGGGAGUGUGUGUGUACGAGAUGGCCACCCUGGAGCGACCCUUUGAUGCCACGCUGAUGCAGCAGCUGGUGUUUAAAAUUGUUCAUGGUCAGUUACCCCCGAUGCCCAAGGAUAAGUACAGUUCACAGCUGAUCAAGAUCAUGGAGAGAAUGAUGUGUCGGGAAACGGACAAGAGACCCUCAGCAACAGAGCUUCUGCAAGAUGUCCUCUUCGAGAAGCAUAAAUCUCCUCAAGCACCACCUUCGUUACCAGAUAAGAAGGGAGCCUUGGGCAUGAAGUCAAUGCGAGGGAACUCCAUUCUUAUUAGUAAACUAAAUCAGUCUAAAGGAGACAAGUUUAAUAUGAGCAAUCUCAUGGAAACCCUCAGUGAAAAAAUCAGCCAGAAGAAGAAGAAAAAAACCAAGGCUGCCAAUCCAGAUGGAUUCAGCUCCAUCAUCAACACAGCUAGUGUGCACAGUAAAUUUCUCAAUUCUACCUAUGAAGACGGGAACAAGACAAUCACAGACAAGACAAUGAAAAAAGGCCUGCACGAAAAAGGGAAGUUCUGCAAGAACCCAGGCGCUAGAUCUGUAGCCAGUGCUUCAGACAUUAGCCUUGAAGAGGAUGAUCUAGAGAGUACAAUGAAGGCAGACGAUGAGGCUCGGGCAGCCCUGCCCCCACCGCCAGACCCCCUCCAGAUGAUGAACCUGGUGGUCAGGACUCUCACACAGGUGUUUCCCAAGGUGAAGUAUUAUCUACAAGUUCUCGAUCCUGGUCUUUCCUUGUCUAACAUAAUGAUAGAUCUCAACAGGAAAAAAAGAAGUUUGGACAAACAAAUUAUAAGACCUUAAAAAAGCAAGUUCUUUGUAAAAUGUAUUCAAAUAAUAGAAGUACAUGUACUACAAUCAACCACAGCCAAUAUUUUAUUACAUCAUGUUCCUUAAACAUGUUUUAAAAAUGUAGAUAUUAUGUGGUGGUUUAAUUGGUGACAUAGUGAAAACAUUCAGCCUACUUUCACUUUCACUUUGUAGGGAGGCGGGGCAUCAGGUGGGGAGAUUAGUAUACCAGAUUCUACAAGAAGUGACCCAGAGGCCAUGUUGCUGCAUCAAAUAGAACAGCUACAGAAGCACUGUUGCCAGGUUCUAGGGUACCAACUGUUUGCCAAUGCCUAUGAUGUUCUGGAUCAGACGGACGACAACAUGCAGCUUGAGGAGAAGCUCAUACGUCUCCUGUCCCCCGAGAAGUUUGCAGUUGUCGGAGUACAGCUGUUCUAUUGCAAGAAUUUCGAGUACAAUCUGCAGAAGCUUAAGGACGGCAGAGGACACUCAACCGCGUAGAUAAGCCAUUUGAUUGGCUGGGUGUUUUAUCUAGAUAUAACAUUGAGUGAAUGAUGUACCAGGUUAACUGACUUUGAAAAUUUAUAUAAUUGUGUUUCUUUUAACGAAAGUCUUUGUUUUGUUUUGUAUUUAUUCAUGUUUCUUUGUACAACGACUAAUUUCACAUAGUAACUAGGUUAUAAUUGAUGCUGGUUUUUUGCACAUUGUGCUGUAAAAGACGCUGGUUAAUAAAGCCAAUAGAUAUAAUUCUUGGGCUAACAGGUAGUUUGGUGUACAUACAUGUAACUGUAUAGUAUUAUAUACCAGUAUAUAUUUACCUGUAUGUGAAUAUAUAUGUGACUAUGACCUGAUGUUCUCGCUGUCUAUACAUGACACAUGUAAAUAUUUUAUCUAUGAACAUUGAAAUUGUUGACGAGUUUCUUUUUAACAAUAUUGUGUUGUUUCAUUUGUAUGUUACAAUUAUCCUAGUCUAGAAAAUCAUAUCUUGUUGAAUUGAUAAAUCUAAAAAUGAUAAUUAUAAAACUAUACAUGCACAGUUUAUGUGACAAGAGAAGCUUGAAAGUCUCAGCAAGACUUGGUAUGUUACUUGUACUGUUUAUUAUUUGUUACAUGUACAAGUUGAUAGAUGUUGUACAUAUGAGUUUCCAGGAUAGCAUUUUUGUCCAAAAGUUUGUUUAUUCAUAAUAUUAUGAACUAGCUUCCUUGUACCAAAGAAAAUGCUUUGUCUUGUACCUUUUUUAAAACAAAAGAGAAAAUGAGAUAUCAAUUUUACUAUCCACUUAGUAUUGCAAACAAUGUCCCUUGAAAUUGGCUGAGAUUGUGCCUUACUAGAAGGCAUGCUGUAUUGUUUAAUGAAUUAUUUCCAAUGUAUGUUUUUCAUGUUUGCAUAAUAUCUAGACUGAUAUUUGCCUGCUUUUAGAAGUGUUAUCAGAAAAUACAUAUUAAGAUUAAUUGUGAUCUGUAAUUUUUUUUUUGGAAUAUAGGUAAAUGUAUAUGCUGUGCAACUCAUGUUAGAUUUAUAUAUGAUAAUCAUAUAUGACUAAAUGUUUGGAUUAUGGAAUGAAAAUAAAAUGUUGAUUCUAGUAGGUUAAAGUAAUCAAAAUGUUGUAACUCGUUCAUCCUUUUUACAGUUGUGACCCUGUAGUCCCAGUGAAGUUAAAACCUCCCUAUACUGUGCAUGUAUCCGUAGUGUCAGUUUUUGAUUUGAUGGAUAGUCUGUUUAAACGAACCAUAGCGCAUUUGGUAGGCAAUUUCAGGUACAUAAUACAUAAUAUGUAGUAGUGAUUUCUGAAAUGCAUGUAUAUACAGUCAUUUUAAACAAAUAAUCUGUGCUGUUGAAUAUAUAUUGAAUUUGAAGUAUAUAAAUACAUUGGCAAAAAGUCAUCACAAAUAAAAUUUGAAAAUU